rnacentral:lncRNA from 1 species
GGAAGGCAAGAAGAGAUGAGGAAUAAAAUCUGUUGGGAUAUGCCGAUCGGUCUUCUCACGCCGACUCACCAUCGGGCCCGCCUGACCAGCACUCGACUCUGCCGACCGACGACUGCCGAUGUCGUCCGACCGAAUAUAUGUCGGCCGGACCGACUCUAUCCCCGCCGACUAGCCGGAUUGGAGAGCCUGAUAUCCGACUCUCGCAGCACCCCCGACUGUCCGUCGGAGGGUCCUUGGGCUGUCACCCGGCAUUCUUCGACCAGGCCCCGACAUACAAUCGGUCGACUCCUUCAAACGUCGUACGACUACUAGAGGCUGUCCGUCCUGACAGCGGCGUGCGGCUUAGCCGUCCUGGGGCGUUAUCCCACCUAAAGCAUGGGUCAACCCUAGUGAUUUGACAGCCCCACGGUGAUUUGACAGCCCCACGGUGAUUUAACAGUCCUCGACGAUUUGACAACUCUCCUAUUGUCGACGUCAUUAAUGACGGCGCCAUGCUGCGCCCUACUAUAAAAUGGGGAAGGCAACAGUGCUGAAGGGGGGUCCGAAACCCUCAAGCGUGUACUCUCUCGUUGAGCUCCUUGAUUCUUUUCUACUAUUGCCUAAUCUCCUCUCUGACUUGACUGUCGGAGGGUCCCCGCCGGAGACACCUCCGGUCAGUGCGGACUUCUUUUGCAGGAGCUCGUUUCCGACGAUCAGGCGACGAGGGGAUUGGCCGCAACAGGUUUUGGCGCGCCAGGAAGGGGGCGACAGGGAUUACAACCCCCACAGAACUUGAAACAUCCUUUCGAGAUGACAAGAACCAGAGCUCAACGGUCGAGGGCCACCGGAUCGGCGAGGCACUCUUCCCGUCGGGAAGAGGUCUUUCCUCCACCCUCCAUGGUGGAACCUAACUCUUCUCAUUCUGUGGUGACCACGGAGGCGCCGAUCGCGGCGAUCAUGCGACAAAUGACCGUGCUGACGGACGCGGUCAAGAGCCUUCAACAACAACCAAUCCGGUUACCGCACUCACCGGCGGAGCAACCGGCGGCACACCCGCUGCCCUCCAGGAGCAGCCGUCGGUGCCCGCAUCGGUCUCUGUCUCCUCCUCCGGAGCAGCUGUCACAGCACUCCCACCGAGAGGAGGAGAGGCGGCCGCGGCUUGGUACCCAUCGGUCUCGAUGGCAGUCUCCCUCCCAGCUGGAAUGAGAAAGAAAGGAGAAGCGGCCGUGAACACCGUCCGCCUCCCUCUCGGAUUCAUCGGGAGACUCCACCCUCGGGGUCUCUCAGCACCGACGGGCUGACGACUACGAACGCAGGUUCGAAGAAAUCGACCGUCGGCUUGUCCAGCUGCAGGUGGAUGGACAGAAGUCCUCGAACGACGUCGACUUCCAGACCGUCCAACCUCUUUCCCGACUCAUGCUCGACGAGCCGAUUCUUAGUCGGUUCAAGAUGCCCCAUGUGGAGCCCUAUGACGGCUCCACCGACCCAGUAGACCACCUGGAGAGCUACAAGGCUCUCAUGACGAUCCAAGGGGCGACCGAUGCCCUUCUUUGCAUCGGCUUCCCCACCACACUUCGCAAAGCUGCUAGGGCCUGGUACUCCGACCUUCGUCCAGGAAGUAUCCACUCCUUUGGGCAGCUUGAGCAUUCUUUCGUGGCCCACUUCAGCACUAGCCGGAAGCCACCACGAACCUCGAACAGCCUUUUUUCCCUCAAACAGAGAGAAAAUGAGACGCUCCGAUAUUUCGUGAUGCGAUUUAACGCGGCCACGCUCGAGGUCCGGGACCUCAAUGAAGACAUGGCUAUCUCAGCCAUGAAGAGGGGGUUAAGGGGGUCUCGAUUUACCUACUUUUUGGACAAGAUCCUCCCCCGGACAUAUGCCGAACUGCUGGAGCGCGCAUACAAGUACAUGCGCACGGAUGAAGGAGCUUCCGAUCGACGUCUGACUAAGGCCAAGGGUCCGAAGGAGAAACGAAGGAAGGGUCGGGACCCUGCCGAGCCUAGUAGGCCCUCGACCGGCAAACAGGUCUCACCCCAGCGAUGGAACCAGAGGUCGCCUCGACAGUGGAGUUUGAGGUCGACGCGUCCCAGGUAUGACUCCUAUACUCCUCUCUCUGCUCUUCGUGCGUAGAUUUUGAUGGAGAUCGAAGGGGAGGAAUAUCUGCAACGGCCUCCACCUCUGAAGGCAAAAGGCGUCGACCGGCGAAAGUACUGCCGAUUCCAUCGGGGCCAUGGCCACAACACCGAGCAGUGCAUCCAACUUAAGGAUGAGAUCGAGGUCCUCAUAUGCCGAGGGUAUCUCGACAAGUUUCGGAGGGACCCGCUGACUCGACCCGUCACCGACCGACGACCCCAACCGACUGAAGAAACAACGACUAACCAGCCUACGAUCGGGGUCAUCAACAUGAUCUCCAAAUGAUUGGACCCGGGGACGACUGCUAGAGGGGAGCCGACGAAGAAGCUACGCGAAGACAAUGUAAUUACUUUUACGGAUGAAGAUGUUCGGGGUGUCCAAACUCCCCAUGACGACGCUGUUGUUGUCUCGGCAACAAUAGCAAAUUACGAUGUAAGAAAGAUCUUUGUAGAUAAUGAAAGUUUGACAAAUAUUUUGUUUUACUCGACCUUCUUCCGGAUGCGACUGUCGGCUGACCGGCUCAAGAGAGUCUCUACACCCCUGAUAGGCUUCGCUGGGAAUGUCGUCACUGUGGAAGGAGAAAUUACUUUGCCCGUGAAGCUGCUGAAGGCCAAUGCCGAUGUGUUCGCUUGGUCGACAGUGGAUAUGUCGGGUAUCCCCCCGGAGAUGAUGACUCACCAACUCAACAUCGAUCCAGUAAUGAGGCUGGUGAGGCAGAAGAAGCGAUCUUUUGCUCCCAAAAGGCAGAAGGCCAUUGACAAAGAAGUGGACAAGCUACUCGAGGUGGGCUUCAUCAGAGAGACCACGUAUCUCGAUUGGCUCGCCAAUGUGGUCAUGGUGAAGAAAGCCAAUGGGAAGUGGAGGAUCUGCAUUGACUAUACCGACUUGAAUCAGACCUGCCCGAAGGACAGCUUUCCACUCCCAAAAAAUGAUCAGCUGGUAGAUGCGACGUUCGGCUACCGACUGCUCAGCUUCAUGGAUGCCUUUGUCGGGUACAAUCAGAUCCAGAUGGCACCGAAGGACGAAGAGCACACGACUUUCGUGACCGCCAAGGGCCUUUACUGCUAUAGGGUGAUGCCCUUCGGUCUGAAGAAUGCCGGGGUUACCUACCAACGACUUGUCAAUAAGGUCUUCAAAGACCAAAUCGGGCGUAACAUGGAGGUAUACGUGGACAACAUGCUGGUAAAGAGUGCGCAAACUCCAAAUCACGUGCAAGAUCUCGAGGAAACCUUCCGCACUCUACGACGACAUCGGAUGAAGCUAAACCCAACUAAAUGCACCUUCGGAGUGACUUCGGGGAAAUUCCUCGGGUUCCUCAUUUCGCAACGAGGAAUCGAGGCCAAUCCCAAGAAGAUCAAAGCAAUCGUCGAUAUGCGACAUCCGGGCAACAAAAGAGAGGUGCAGCAACUCAACGGAAGGAUCAUCGCACUCAGCCGAUUCAUCUCUCGAUCGGCUGAAAGAUGCCUCCCAUUCUUCGAAACUUUGAGACAGGUGAAGGACUUCUCUUGACCGGAUGAGUGCCGGCGGGCCUUUGAAGACCUGAAAAGGUACCUGGCCUCUCUGUCGCUGCUUGUAAAGUCGAAAGUCGGAGAGACAUUGUACCUCUAUUUGGCCACUUCCAUUGAGGCGGUUAGCUCGGUGCUCGUCCGAGAGAACGAGAACUGAAUCCACCAACCUAUAUACUACACCAGCAAAGUGCUCCACGGUGCUGAAGCUCGGUAUUCAAAGAUGGAGAAGAUGAUAUUCGCCCUGAUUAUGUCUGCGCAAUGACUCCAUCCGUAUUUUCAAGUGCACACCAUUGUGGUCCUCACCGACCAACCCCUGAGGGCGAUAUUGUACCGCCCCGACACAUCGGGACGACUGACGAAAUGGGCAAUGAGGCUCAGCAAGUUCGACAUCUAGUACCGACCGCGACCUGCCUUGAAGGCCCAGGUCCUGACCGACUUUAUCGUGGAAUGCCCGACAGCUGACCAAGGACCGGAGGACGGGAGCUCCAGAGAAGUUGCAAUCUCGGAGCCUGACCCCAGGUCUACCUGGGUGUUGCACAUCGACGGAGCUUCCAAUGCUCGAGGGAGCGGGGUCGGGUUCCUGCUCACCAACUCGGAGGGGGUAGUCAUUGAGUACGCCCUCUGAUUCGACUUUAAAGCCUCCAACAAUCAAGCCGAGUAUGAGGCGCUCCUCGCUGGCUUGAGGAUGGCGAAAGAGCUUGGGAUCGACAGCCUCCGAGUCUUCUUCGAUUCUCAGCUGAUCGUGGGGCAGGUCAAGGGCGAAUUCGAGGUGCGAGACUCGACUAUGGUAAAAUAUCUCCAGAAGGUGAAAGAUCUUGUGGCACGCCUCGAAUAUUUUGAGAUCUCCCACAUCCCUAGGACGGAGAAUGCUCGGGCCGAUGCACUCUCCAAGCUAGCGACUUCAGCUUACAACGCUUUGGGUUGGACAUUCGUGAAGAACCUCGAGCAGUCGAGCAUCGACAGGGCCGAGGAGGUGCUACAACUAGCGGCCGAACCAAGUUGGAUGGAUCCGAUUGUUCGGUACUUGACCGACGGAAUUAGCCCUGAGGACCCCGCGGAGGUCAAACAGCUCCGAUGGUUGGCCUCCCAAUAUGUGAUAAUGGAUGGCCAACUCUACAAAAGGUCGUUCUCCCUCCCCUUGCUCAGGUGCUUGGGACCGACUGACGCGGACUACGCGCUCAGAGAAGUACACGAAGGGAUCUGUGGAAACCACUUGGGGGGCAAAUCUUUGGCCUACAAAGUCCUACGGCAGGGUUACUACCGGCCUACCAUGAGGAAGGAUGCGGCUGAGUUGGUUCGGAAGUGUGAGCCAUGCCAGAGGUACGCCAACAUACAGCACCGAUCAGCCAGCCAAAUUACCCCUAUUGUCGCCCCGUGACCUUUCGCCCAGUGGGGGAUCGACAUACUCGGCCCCUUCCCUCCGGCAUCUGGCCAAAAAAAGUUCAUAGCCGUCGCCAUCGAUUACUUCACUAAGUGGGUGGAAGCCGAGCCUCUGGCGCAAAUCACUGAACGGAAGAUGGAAGACUUCGUCCAGAAGUCCAUCCUUUUCAGGUUCGGAUUGCCGCACACCAUUAUCACCGACAAUGGAUGACAAUUCGACAAUCAGGACUUCAGAGACUUCUGUACGAGAUUUCAUAUCACGCACCGACUGACCUCGGUCAGACACCUACAGUCCAACGGUGAAGUCGAGGUGACCAAUCGGACCAUUCUGCAUGGACUUAAAACCCGACUGAAUGAAGCCAAAGACCUCUGGGUCGAGGAGUUGAAUUUCGUCCUAUGGGCGUAUCGAACGACACCCCGUGUCCCAACCGGAGAAUCACCCUUCAGCUUGGUCUAUGGGACGGAGGCGAUGAUACCGCUCGAGAUCGGGCUACCAUCGACUAGAGUUGAGCAGUAUCAAGAGCCGGAUAACUCUGAGUGUUGGAGGGCCGACCUGGACCUCCUCCCCGAACUUCGAUGCGAGGCUCAAUUUUGCAUGGCUUCUUAUCGACAGAGAGUAGCCCGAUAUUACAACGCCAAGGUCAAACCGAAGCUUUUUAGGCCGGGGACCUAGUCUUGAGAAAGGCAGAAGUCUCGAAGCCCCUAGACCAGGGAAAGUUAGCUCCGAACUGGGAAGGACCCUACAAAGUGGCGGACACCUAUGGGUCGAGAGCCUACCGAUUGGAGACUCUAGAAGGGGACGCCAUUCUCCAGAUCUGGAAUGUUGACAACCUAAAGUUGUACUACCAAUGAACUUUGUAUCCCCUCACUCGGAAUACAAAUUCAGCUUCAAAACUUCGGAGUCUGAAAUCUCGACUCUUCGACUGUGGGUCGGCGCUCGCCAGAAGUACGAGCCCCGACAUCCUGACUUGAGCCUAACGUUCCACUGGAGACCAACGGCCCGAUCGCCCAUGAUGCAUCGGACGCUUGAAAGGACCGAUACAUCCACGACGACGGGAGUUACACUCCUUCUACAGUUAAAACUCUCGGGCAAAAUGAUCGGCUGACUUGCCGACUCGGCCACGGCCAAGAAAGGCAAAGCGCCAACGCGAUCAAUGUCGCGUCGGCAACUUAUCGAUCAGGUCACGAUCGAUCGAAGGAUAUUCGGCUUGCCACCGUUUAUCGCAUGCGGCACGACAUAUGUACCCGAUCAAGGUCGGAGUAAUGGAAACUCGACUUGUCAUCGUUCCCCCGACUAAAUGCAUCGGACGCCAUUCAGCUGUACGCAUCGGACGACAUCUGACUAUCGGAUCCUAUGGAAUGACCCGGCCAUCGAGUUAUGCCCAGAGGUCGAUCGACCUUCGACUCGACGAACACGCCCGACUCACGUCUGGGCAAUAGGCAUUCGACUUAAGCCCUCGAUCGUCGGGUUACACGACAAUCGGGAGGCUGAUCCAAAGUCGGAAUUCGCUCUGCCUCUGCCGCGACGCGCGUUACCGACUACCUCGGAUCAUUAUCUGAGAUCCUACCGAAUGUCCUAACUAGUGCAUUGGGCUUACGACUUAUAUGUUCAAAAAGUACUUCGACGAAUCACACAAGACACAUCUCAAAAAAACAUACAGAGGAAGAGAGUCAAAGUUAAAAAGGCUUAGAUUUCAUUAAAGUUCGGGCUAAGUUUACAAAAUUAGGCCGAAGCCUGACUACAAGUAUGCUGAAUAAAAUUAAAAACAAAAGACCGACUAGUCCUCAGAAUCGGCUUCCUCCAUCGGGCGAAGGUUGGGGGUGGUCGGCGAAUCCACUCGGGCUUCGGGGGUCGGUGCCGCUUCGGGUGUCGGAGCCGCUUGACCUUCGGUGGCCUGGUCCGUGUCUGCUUCGGCUUCUGCUGUGGUGGUGCGAUCUCCCGACGAUGGAUCAGCCAUCUCCUCCGCAACUGGGGCCUCCGACUCCGACGGAACGAUGCUGCCAAGGUCGAGCUCCGGAUAUAAGCUCCGGNNNNNNNNNNNNNNNNNNNNCGAUACUCUUCGGAGUCGCGGAAGUCUUCUACAGCCCGACCCAUGGCUUCCUUCGUCGACUCCGCUUCCGCCCUUGCGAUGUCUACAUCGGUCUGGGCGAUGGACAGACUCUCUUUAGCCUUAGCGAGGUUCUCGAGGCUUGCUCGGAGCUGCUCGCGUUCGGCCUUGAGCUCCUUAGCGAAGCUAUCCCUCUCGUGAUGCAGCCGACGAAUGAUGCGGGAUUUUCGCUUGGCGUCUUCCCGAACCGACUGCAUCUCGGUCCCCGAAGCAGCCAGGGCACCUGUGAGUCGGGAGACCUCGGUAAGACGGGAGAUCUCCCCCUCAAGCCGGGCCUCCCGAUCGACCGACUGCUGCAACUGGUCGACCAGUAUGACCUUAUUGGCCUCGGCGGCAUGGCCUUAUCCUUCCAGGCCGCGCGCAUAUCGCCGAAUCUUCGAUAUCCGGCCUCCAGCUCGGAUAUGUUAUAAAUCAGCUGCACAAAACGAAGCCGACCGUCAGAAGACCGAACCUAUUGAAAAUGAUGAUGAGAACGGAAAGAAAGAGGACUUACCCGAAUCAUAGUCGGGUAGAACGAGGACAACAUGUCGGAGACAUGCUGAUUCUUCAUAGCCUCAACGUCGGUCGGGAGGAUGAGCGCCUGGCACAGUCUCCUGGCCAAGUUGUGGUUGGCCAGGGCCGACCCUCCUUCGGGAAGUGGGGAGUCGGUCGACGCCCCACCACCGACCGACCUCCUAUCGUCGUCGGACGCCAUCGGGGCCUUCCCUCGAGCGGAUAUCCAAGCCCUGAUAUCGGAGAAGGAUGACAUGCUUGAGCCCGACCGGGUCUCUCCCAAAGGCACGGCAGUAGCAGACGCGGGUUGCUCGGGCUCGCGUGCCUCUUCCUGAACCUCUUCUGCCGGCUGAGCAGCCGGCACAUCCUCGAUCGAUUCCUCGGCCGCCCGUCCCUCUGGCGAAGCUGCCCCCUCGGCCGACGGUCCCUCGGACGGGACUUCGACAGGCACUGUCGGCACCGACAGUGCAAUGAUGGGCUCUGCCUCUGCCCGAGUCGGCUCGCUCGGCGGAGCUACCUGAGGCCUCUUGGGAGGCCGCGAUGGUUCGGCCCCUUGCGCCGGCCUCUUCCGCGCUGCAUGCUGUCGGAUGUCGGCUGCCAUCAACCUCGUCUUCGGUGGCAUAUCUGCAACAACGACGGAGGAUCAGCAUUAAAUCAAAAAAAAACAAAAAUAAAAAAUAAAAACACAACAACAAAACAAAACAGACCUAGGCGGGGCACCAAGCUGAGACCGGCGUCGUACAAGGCCUGCUCGGUGACGAGCUCCCGCUGCUUCGACACCGAGAUAUCCUUCAGACGGUGGAAGUCUUCCCGAUCCCCGGCCUCCACCCGACUGUUCUCGUUUGGUUGGGUUCGGAGGUCCCCCCAACGGGUAGGGAACCCCCAAGGAACGGAAGAAGAGGCAAAGAAGAACUAGUUAUUCCAUCCAUGAAUCGAUGAUGGAAGAUCGGUAAUGAAGGAGAGUCCCUUCGUAGGAUUGAAAUACCACCACCCUCGGGCUUUAGGAUGGGAUCGGAGAACGAAAAAAGCUCGGAAGAGUGAAAUCCGAGGGAUGGUCGGCAAAAGCUGACACAACAGGGCAAAGCUGACUAUUAGCCGAACCGAGUUCGGUGCAAGUUGCGUCGGACAUAGCCCGUAAUAGUCCAACACGUUUCGAACGAACUCCGGGAUCGGGAAGUGAAGACUGGCAUGGAGGUCCUCGACGUAGAAGGCCACUUGACCCUCAGGUAGGCUGUUAAUCCGACCAUUGGCUCCACGGGCGAACAGCUGAAAUUGCUCUGGGAUGCAAUAUUGCUCCCAGAGCCGAUCAACAUUCGGCCCCGAAAGUGAAGAGACCUCAACCUCCGGGAUCGAUCGAGGGUCGUCAGUCGGGUUCCCCGACCGACCUCCUCUUGGAGAUGUUCUAGCCAUAAACCAGAACAGAAGUCGGAAAAUAAGAAGAAGGGGGAAGAGAACCGUGAGGAAGCAAGGAAAAAGAAAGACAACGGUGAAGGCUCCUAGAGGAAAAAAGACUUCUAAAGGGGGAAAAUGGAGACGGUUACCUGGGCCAAGGGACCGCUUAGUCAAAGUUUCGACAGCAAGUGGGGAAAAUAGAAAUCCGGAUGCAGGCGACCCUGUAUAUAUAGCGCCCCCCGAUGGCCGAGAUGAAAGCACAACCAACGAGGAUCUCCCGGAUUGCGGCACGUGGCGACAUCUGGGCCCUCCUUUGGCCCGACGGUUCGACGCACCUGUCCUCAGAUCGGGCCAUGUCACCCCCAUCCGCUCGAACGGAUCCGGCCCAAUGGCCACCUGCCAUGCGGUGGAAAGGCCGCGGCGUUUCGCAUCCCCGAAGAGACGGCGGGAACGACGGUUUCCAUUCUCGACGGGACGGGACGUCUGACACUGAUGGGACGGGACGUCCGACACCGAUGGGACGGGACAUCAGACACCGAUGGGACGGGACGUCCGACCCUGACAGGACGAGGCAUCUAACACUCACAAGAUGCCUGACACCAGACCAACCCACGGUACGGUCGUCAGAGUGAAAAUUUAAUACGAUGGAUAUCCACUCCUUUCGCCUGACGCUGCCGCCCGUGCAAGGAUGCUGGCCAGCACACCAUCUGACUCAGUAGUGGAGGGGGGCAACUAUUGGGAUAUGCCGAUCGGUCCUCUCACGCCGACUCACCAUCGGGCCUGCCUAACCAGCGCUCGACUCUGCCGACCGAUGACUGCCGACGUCGCCCGACCGAAUAUAUGUCGGUCGGGCCGACUCUCUCCCCCCCCCCCGACUAGCCGGACUGGGGAGCCUGAUAUCCGACUCUCGCAGCACCCCCGACUGUCCGUCGGAGGGUUCCUGGGCUGUCACCCGGCAUUCCUCGACCAGGCCCCGACAUACAGUCAGUCGACUCCUUCAAACGUCGUACGACUACUAGAGGCUGUCCGUCCUGACAGCGGCGUGCGGCUUAGCCGUCCUGGAGCGUUAUCCCACCUAAAGCAUGGGUCAACCCUAGUGAUUUGACAGCCCCAUGGUGAUUUGACAGCUCCACGGUGAUUUGACAGUCCUCGACGAUUUGACAACUCUUCUAUUGUCGGCGCCAUUAAUGACGGCGCCAUACUGCGCCCUACUAUAAAAUGGGGAAGGCAACAGUGCUGAAAGGGGGUCCGAAACCCUCGAGCGUUUAUUCUCUCUCUCUCGCUGAGCUCCUUGAUUCNNNNNNNNNNNNNNNNNNNNNNNAGGGUCCCCGCCAGAGACACCUCCGAUCAGUGCGGAUUUCUUUUGCAGGCACUCAUUUUCGGUGACCAGGCGACGAGGAGAUUGGCCGCAAGAAAACCAAACCCAUUGCAUACAACAUCCUUCAUUUUUUUUCUUAUUGUCCGAUACCAUCCAUACCCAAAUACCUCAUGCAGAGGAGCUGGCCAUGGAAUGCAGGACAUCCAUAGCUACGUCCGUUUGCUUGAGCGUUAGCUCUGCGGCUCCACUGGGCCCAACCGUGAGGCAGAGGUCCAUGGGACGUCAUGCUGGAUCUUUGGCUCCACCAUCAGUGCUCAGGUCAUUGGUCUUUGAUGGCCGAGCCCUCUGAUGUCUCUGAUGGCAUGCAGAGAGUUGGCCUCUGAGCAUGGAUACGGACCUGACAGGCCUGCAUCGAGCUACACCAGACGCUGCUCAACCUGGACCACAUGCAGCUCUUCCUUGACUAGCAGAGCUACGCUCUGCCUGAAGGGAGCGCAGUUCUACAAUGAAGGCAAAGACAUGAGGUACCAUAUAUUCCUGGAGGGAAGGAAGACAACCCCACCAAUGAAGAGCUGGCACGUGUAAUUGGGAUAUGAAAAAGUAGCUUGCAGUACUAUCUACAAUGUAAAUUUGACGCAUUGAUGGAAGCUAAUUGUAAUACCCUCCAAUUCAUUUCCAUGAUUAACUAAAGUUCGAAUUCAAUGUCAGAAUUCGAAAUCAACAUUGUGAUUUAAUUAAUUAAGCAGUGAAGUUUGUCUUAUCUUUAGGGGAAAUUGGAAAUGCUUUACCCUUUUUUGUCCUUCUAAAGUUGAAGCUCUAUAGCAUAGAUAGGUGGAAGAAAGCCCCUUGAAGUGGGACUGGAAAAAAUUCAUUGAGUCAUGCAUCUAAUUUUGGACUCACAGUGUAUCCCAGAAAAAAACAUAUACCAUAAUUUGAAGUGCAGACCUCCGUUUCUU